rnacentral:ncRNA from 1 species
AAGUCUGUUUCAGAAAACAGAAACCCAGGUCAAGUAAGUGUUCUCACUUACAAUAACACAGUUAAUGAUGGGGCAACUCAAAGUUAA